UGGGGAAUUUUGGACAAUGGGCGAAAGCCUGAUCCAGCCAUGCCGCGUGAGUGAAGAAGGCCUUCGGGUUGUAAAGCUCUUUUAGUCGGAAAGAAAGAGUUGCAAUGAAUAAUUGUGAUUUAUGACGGUACCGACAGAAAAAGCACCGGCUAACUACGUGCCAGCAGCCGCGGUAAUACGUAGGGUUCGGGCGUUAAUCGGAAUUACUGGGGGUAAAGGGUGCGCAGGCGGUCUUGCAAGUCAGAUGUGAAAGCCCCGGGCUUAACCUGGGAAUUGCGUUUGAAACUACAAGACUAGAGUGCAGCAGAGGGGAGUGGAAUUCCAUGUGUAGCAGUGAAAUGCGCAGAGAUGUGGAAGAACACCGAUGGCGAAGGCAGCUCCCUGGGUUGACACUGACGCUCAUGCACGAAAGCGUGGGGAGCAAACA
rnacentral:rRNA from 1 species